rnacentral:siRNA from 1 species
GCUCGUCAAAUCUCCUCGAUGGCA